GAUUAAGAGCUUGCUCUUAUGAAGUUAGCGGCGGACGGGUGAGUAACACGUGGGUAACCUGCCCAUAAGACUGGGAUAACUCCGGGAAACCGGGGCUAAUACCGGAUAACAUUUUGAACUGCAUGGUUCGAAAUUGAAAGGCGGCUUCGGCUGUCACUUAUGGAUGGACCCGCGUCGCAUUAGCUAGUUGGUGAGGUAACGGCUCACCAAGGCAACGAUGCGUAGCCGACCUGAGAGGGUGAUCGGCCACACUGGGACUGAGACACGGCCCAGACUCCUACGGGAGGCAGCAGUAGGGAAUCUUCCGCAAUGGACGAAAGUCUGACGGAGCAACGCCGCGUGAGUGAUGAAGGCUUUCGGGUCGUAAAACUCUGUUGUUAGGGAAGAACAAGUGCUAGUUGAAUAAGCUGGCACCUUGACGGUACCUAACCAGAAAGCCACGGCUAACUACGUGCCAGCAGCCGCGGUAAUACGUAGGUGGCAAGCGUUAUCCGGAAUUAUUGGGCGUAAAGCGCGCGCAGGUGGUUUCUUAAGUCUGAUGUGAAAG
rnacentral:rRNA from 1 species